CUGUCCUUUGCAGAAAGGACAGAGGACUCUUGCACAACCCCUGGGUAUCAAGGAACCAAUCCUUCUUGCAUAAUGUCCCCCUAUCCCUUUCCCGGAGCCACGAAACCAGCACUUCUCAUACAACCUCCAAGCACCCAGAUAACUCAUCAGUCUGCCCAUAAUGGGGGAAUGUCACAGACCACUGCACUCCCUUAACUGAUUAAACCCCUUUAAAAAUCCCUGGGUUAGGCAGAAAGCACAGAGUAAGGUGGUCUUUGGAUAAGAGUUUGCUUUCUCCCCAGGUGGCUGGCCUCCUGUAUAAACCGCACAUUCCUUCAGAGUCAAAACUCCUCUCUUGAGUGUUGGCCUCUUGAGCCCGGGCAGCUGAACAUGGGUUUUGAUAAGCGCUGGGACAGACCAUUUGACUGGCACAGAUCAAUUUGCUCAUCCAGAUGUGUUUCCUGGGAGACAUUUUGGCCAUGGCAAGUAAUGGGAAACAUCAAACAUUUAAGUGAAGGCUUCCACAUUUCAAGGACAACAAUGAUUUCAAAUGCCAUCAUUCUUGUAAGUAAAUCACAAUAUUGUAAAGUAAGUGCCUGGCAUUAUUUUUCCCUUUGGCUCACAAGCAGAAUAGUUCUCAGCAGCAUUUUGCAUCCUGCAAAUUGGGAACCACCAGUGUGUUGUAAAGUAAGAAAAAAAAUUUUUUUUUUUAGGAAAUUGAAAAUAAGAGGAAAACUCAAACUCUUUUUGCAUGGUAAGGGCAAGAAUCAUUAUCUUUAGACUUCUGUUUCAAUGAUGCAUGCAAGAAUUUUCUGGGUUGUAACUAUAAAGAGAAAAUUGUUCGGGAUCCCAAAGUGAUGGAGUCUAUGAUUUUUUUCUGGGAAGAAACUAGCAUUCCUGAUAAAGCUUAAAGCAUGGAAGAUUUUCUGAAGUUAACAGUAUUAAGACUUGUUCAAGGAAACUGGUUACCUAUCCACUCAAGUUACUGUCAGGGAGUGUCGUUAAGAAUCUAGUGACCUUUAUCCAAACAUUCCUUUUCUUCUAGUUGUUGGUCUAACAAUAACCAUUUUCUUUUUCCAUAAAAUGUCCCCACCACAAAUACACCUUUGAAUGGCUUACUAUAGCUUGUGGUUUUUGAACAGCAAGAUUGUAAAAAUAACUUUGAAAUGUGUUUGUAAUUGGAUUGGUAAGAAGUUUCCUUAAUACUAUGUAAAAUAUUUUUCUUUCUGUGAGUCGAGAUUUAGACGAAAAAUUCUGGAAGUUACUGAUUCCAGGGGACAGGACAGGGGCAGACUGGUGGGACAGAAAACAUAGAAGUUGGUGGUUUCCCAGAUUGGGACCCUAGGUUUCUGCUGGGUGACAGAGGCUCUCAUCCCCAGACAAUACUUUCUAGAGAGGAGACCCAGUGUGGACUCACCAAGGGAUCUCCGAAAACAGGAUCUAUGCCAUGACAUUGCUCUGGGCCAGUCCUGCCUCUGUGGGAGUGGGCUGAGAAGCCUCUGAUAGGGCUGACUGAUGUGGCCAACAGGUGGAGGUUGGUCUAAAGGACAAGGAGUGAGAUGCUGGAGUCUACAAGAGCUCUUAGAAUAAUCACCUUAUGGUCUUAUGCCUUCUUGGAGGCCCUGGCCAUGAAAAGCAGCAUCAUGUGGCCUUACUAGAUGAUAAAACCUACAAACACAUGAAGUUGUCUGUCUUGGUCUGUGGUGCAUCCCCUAGGACAUAGUGGGUAUGCAAUAACAUCUGUACAAUGAACGAGUGUGAACUUCCUGUCACCAAGGGGUCUUGAUGUGUCUCCCUCUGCUCAGAAGUCCUUUCUACUUCCUUGAACAGGUCAGUGCCCAGCCCAGAGCUGGUUGAUAAUUGCUCUCCUUGGUCCUUGGGUUUCUAACUUAAUCUGCUUCUUUCUAAAAGGGCCAGGGGCUGGAGCCUGACAGAUGGGUUUUGACCAGGGCCCUCAAAGUAUGUGAUUACCUGGAUCCUAUUUAGGGACUUUGUGCAAGCUGUUGGCUCUGAGUAUGACCAGUUGGAGGAAGGAGGAAAUUAACAGAGAGAGAAAAAUAAAGUAUAGACAGUCAUUGUAAACA
rnacentral:lncRNA from 12 species